GCAGACACAUUCCAGCCAAUCAGCAGCAGACCCUCCCUCCCAGAUCCUCCCACCUCCUGGACAGCAUCCAUUUUACAUUCAUUGUGAAGCUGUAUUCUUAGUGAGCUGUCCAGGAGGUGGGAGGGUCUGGGAGGGAGGGUCUGCUGCUGAUUGGCUGGAAUGUGUCUG